rnacentral:rRNA from 1 species
AGUCGAGCGAUGAAACACCUUCGGGUGUGAAUUAGCGGCGAACGGGUGAGGAACACGUGAAGAAUCUGCCUUCAACUCUGGGAUAACUCCGGGAAACCGGGGCUAAUACCGGAUAUGAGCCUCGAUCGCAUGAUUGGGGCUGGAAAGUUUUUCGGUUGAAGAUGACUUCGCGGCCUAUCAGCUUGUUGGUGAGGUAAUGGCUCACCAAGGCGACGACGGGUAGCCGGCCUGAGAGGGCGACCGGCCACACUGGGACUGAGACACGGCCCAGACUCCUACGGGAGGCAGCAGUGGGGAAUAUUGGGCAAUGGAGGAAACUCUGACCCAGCGACGCCGCGUGAGGGAUGAAGGCCUUCGGGUUGUAAACCUCUUUCAGUAGGGAAGAAGCGAAAGUGACGGUACCUACAGAAGAAGCACCGGCUAACUAUGUGCCAGCAGCCGCGGUAAUACAUAGGGUGCAAGCGUUGUCCGGAAUUAUUGGGCGUAAAGAGCUCGUAGGUGGUUCGAUACGUCGGAUGUGAAAAUCAGGGGCUCAACCCCUGACCUGCAUCCGAUACGGUCGAGCUAGAGUUUGGUAGGGGAGACUGGAAUUCCUGGUGUAGCGGUGGAAUGCGCAGAUAUCAGGAGGAACACCGAUGGCGAAGGCAGGUCUCUGGGCCAAUACUGACACUGAGGAGCGAAAGCGUGGGGAGCGAACAGGAUUAGAUACCCUGGUAGUCCACGCCGUAAACGGUGGGCGCUAGUUGUGCGAACCUUCCACGGUUUGUGCGACGCAGCUAACGCAUUAAGCGCCCCGCCUGGGGAGUACGAUCGCAAGAUUAAAACUCAAAGGAAUUGACGGGGCCCCGCACAAGCAGCGGAGCAUGCGGCUUAAUUCGACGCAACCCGAAAAACCCUUACAAGGNCUGACAUAUACAGGAAUAUGGCAGAGA